rnacentral:rRNA from 1 species
GGUGCAUGGUUGUCGUCAGCUCGUGUCGUGAGAUGUUGGGUUAAGUCCCCGCAACGAGCGCAACCCUUAUCAUUAGUUGCCACCAUUCAGUUGGGCACUCUAAUGAGACUGCCGUGACAAACCGGAGGAAGGUGGGGAUGACGUCAAGUCCUCAUGGCCCUUAUGGGUAGGGCUUCACACGUCAUACAAUGGUCGGUACAGAGGGUCGCCAACCCGCGAGGGGGAGCCAAUCCCACAAAGCCGAUCGUAGUCCGGAUUGGAGUCUGCAACUCGACUCCAUGAAGUCGGAAUCGCUAGUAAUCGUGGAUCAGCAUGUCACGGUGAAUACGUUCCCGGGUCUU